UUUUAUGACCAUGUGAUCAAGUUAAUGCCACUUUAUUAAAGGAUACACAGCAAUUUAUAGACUACCAUGAAGUACAUGUGCAGCUACUUGAUUGCUAAUAGGCUAAAGCUACUUGUCCAUGUGCCCUUUUGCCCUCUAUGAUUGGUCCCGGUGUGGUGUCCACGAGCUGUUCUCUCUCCCCCCAGGUGGAGCC